CUACACCAUCACCUCCACCAGAGUGGGGUUCUCUGCUCUGCUUAUGGAUGUUUCUAGCAUUUUGUGGCACACAGUAGGUGCUCAGUAACUAUUUGCUGAAUGAAUGACCGACACCAGCCGGCACGGAUGGAGCAAUCGCAUAAAUGAGAGUUCAUCUCUCACGCAUCAUCAGGAGCCAUGACAGGGAGUCUACGCCUCCACUGCCCAUGAUAGGACAGCUUUGAGAUUAGAUCAGGUCCUCUGCAGAGUCGCCCAUGACCCAUCCCAACCCACGUCCCCUCAUCAUUGCAUCCUGUCAUUUAUUUAUAAUUGUGGUAAAAUCACAUGCACAUAACAUAAAAUUUGUCAUCUUAACCAUUGUAUUGUUAUUUG
rnacentral:lncRNA from 1 species